rnacentral:rRNA from 1 species
CUGCUGCCUUCCGUAGGAGUCUGGUCCGUGUCUCAGUACCAGUGUGGGGGACCUUCCUCUCAGAACCCCUACGCAUCGUCGCCUUGGUGGGCCGUUACCCCGCCAACAAGCUAAUGCGCCGCAUGCCCAUCCUCCGCCGGAAUCACUUCCUUUUAACACCAGUGGGAUGCCCCACUGGUGUACCACGCGGUAUUAGUCCGGAUUUCUCCGGGUUAUCCCCCUGCGGAGGGCAGGUUGCAUACGUGUUACUCACCCGUGCGCCGGUCGCCGG